rnacentral:rRNA from 1 species
GUAGGUGGCAAGCGUUGUCCGGAUUUAUUGGGUUUAAAGGGUGCGUAGGCGGCUUUGUAAGUCAGUGGUGAAAUAUGGCAGCUCAACUGUCAGGGUGCCAUUGAUACUGCGGAGCUUGAGUACAGAUGAGGUAGGCGGAAUUGACGGUGUAGCGGUGAAAUGCUUAGAUAUCGUCAAGAACACCGAUAGCGAAGGCAGCUUACUAGGCUGUAACUGACGCUGAGGCACGAAAGUGUGGGGAUCAAACAGGAUUAGAUACCCUGGUAGUCCACACUGUAAACGUUGAUGACUCGCUGUUGGCGAUACACGGCCAGCGGCAGAGAGAAAUCGUUAAGUCAUCCACCUGGGGAGUACGCCGGCAACGGUGAA